rnacentral:lncRNA from 1 species
GGAUAAACUCAAAAAGAAGAGAAAACUAUUUUUCUUUCCAUUAAGAAAACAGUAGCAUGUCAUUUGUGGGCCAGUGGAAAUCAAGGUGUGAUUUGACUUCCACAAAACAACAUCUCAGCAGCAGAAUUCAAGGAGGAAAUUCAUGAGGUCAUUUAAUGCCACAGACAAUUCUCUCUUUAAAACUGAGAGUUUUUGUCUCUGAGGGCUCUUUGCUCUGUGGCUGGCAAUAGAAGAGGAAAUGCAAUAUCUGAAGCUCAUUUGAGGCUGGAAUUCAGAGAAGCUGGAUGGAUGAACUUGGAACAACCUCUGAAGUGAUUACCCUGGCAAGAACAGCGAGUUCCUCCUGAGGAGGCAUUAAAGUCAGUUCAUGUGAUGCACACUUUUGGGUUCCCACCUCCCACAGGAACACAUCAGAAGACAAGGUCUCUUACUGUAACUUUUCCCCAAUGAAACACCAGGAAAAACAUCAUUUAUCUUUUAGUGUCUUGAGGAAUCUGUCUGAACCUCUGGGUGUGGGACACACUGUGUUUGGCAGUCACGGGCAUGGAUCAGCGCAAGGACAGCAGUUUAUUCCUCCAGCCAAUAGGAAGAAGAUGGUUUGUACUGGUGAAUCUCUGCUGAGGGUGGAAGGAGCCAAGAACUUCCAUAACUGCCCCUACAAAGGAUUCCCACAGAGCUUUGUUUUGUGUGACUGUGGAAAAAGAGGUGGAUUUGUGUUGCCUGUAAGCUCAUCCCAUCACUGCUGAGCGCUUUGUUUAUCCAUUCUCCAGGAAAGAUGCACUGUGCUGUCAUGUUUGAUUGUUAGGAGGUUUUAUGAGGUCUCUGCUGGAAUAACUUUAAGGUUGUUCUGUCCUGAGGCAGGAGCACCAAGGCUCUCCUGCUCUCGCUGGGGCGUGU